UACGGAGGGGGCAAGCGUUGUUCGGAAUUACUGGGCGUAAAGGGCGCGCAGGCGGCUGCUCAAGUCAGGCGUGAAAGGCCUGGGCUCAACCCGGGAAUUGCGCUUGAGACUGGGCUGGCUUGAGUGCGGGAGAGGAUGGUGGAAUUCCCAGUGUAGAGGUGAAAUUCGUAGAUAUUGGGAAGAACACCGGUGGCGAAGGCGGCCUCUGGACAGUGACUGACGCUGAGAUGCGAAAGCGUGGGGAGCAAACAGG
rnacentral:rRNA from 1 species